ensembl:snRNA U2 U2 spliceosomal RNA
AUAUCAAAAUGAUAAGAGGAGUAUCGGAUAUUAAACUGAUAAGAGAACAAUAUAUUAAAUGGAUUUUUGGAGCAGAGUGAUGGAAUAGGAGCUUCCUCCGUCCACUCCACGCAUCGACCUGGUAUUGCAGUACCUCCGGGAACGGUGCACCCCCU